UACAGAGGUCCCAAGCGUUGUUCGGAUUCACUGGGCGUAAAGGGUGCGUAGGCGGUCGGGUAAGUCUGAUGUGAAAUCUCACAGCUUAACUGUGAAACUGCAUUGGAUACUAUCCGGCUCGAGGAAUGGAGGGGAGACUGGAAUACUUGGUGUAGCAGUGAAAUGCGUAGAUAUCAAGUGGAACACCAGUGGCGAAGGCGAGUCUAUGGACAUUUCCUGACGCUGAGGCACGAAAGCCAGGGGAGCAAACGGG
rnacentral:rRNA from 1 species